rnacentral:rRNA from 1 species
AACGAACGCUGGCGGCAUGCCUAACACAUGCAAGUCGAACGAGACCUUCGGGUCUAGUGGCGCACGGGUGCGUAACGCGUGGGAACCUGCCCUUAGGUUCGGAAUAACUCCCCGAAGGGGGUGCUAAUACCGGAUAAUGUCUUCGGACCAAAGAUUUAUCGCCUUUGGAUGGGCCCGCGUUGGAUUAGCUAGUUGGUAGGGUAAAAGCCUACCAAGGCGACGAUCCAUAGCUGGUCUGAGAGGAAGAUCAGCCACACUGGGACUGAGACACGGCCCAGACUCCUACGGGAGGCAGCAGUGGGGAAUAUUGGACAAUGGGCGAAAGCCUGAUCCAGCAAUGCCGCGUGAGUGAUGAAGGCCUUAGGGUUGUAAAGCUCUUUUACCCGGGAUGAUAAUGACAGUACCGGGAGAAUAAGCUCCGGCUAACUCCGUG